UACGGAGGGAGCUAGCGUUGUUCGGAAUUACUGGGCGUAAAGCGCACGUAGGCGGCUUUGUAAGUUAGAGGUGAAAGCCCGGAGCUCAACUCCGGAACUGCCUUUAAGACUGCAUCGCUUGAAUCCAGGAGAGGUGAGUGGAAUUCCGAGUGUAGAGGUGAAAUUCGUAGAUAUUCGGAAGAACACCAGUGGCGCAGGCAGCUCACUGGACUGGUAUUGACGCUGAGGUGCGAAAGCGUGGGGAGCAAACAGG
rnacentral:rRNA from 1 species